GGGGAAUUUUGGACAAUGGGCGCAAGCCUGAUCCAGCAAUGCCGCGUGCAGGAUGAAGGCCUUCGGGUUGUAAACUGCUUUUGUACGGAACGAAAAGCCUCUCUCUAAUACAGGGGGGUGAUGACGGUACCGUAAGAAUAAGCACCGGCUAACUACGUGCCAGCAGCCGCGGUGAUACGUAGGGUGCGAGCGUUGUCCGGAAUUAUUGGGCGUAAAGAGCUUGUAGGCGGUUUUGUAAGACAGUGGUGAAAUCCCCGGGCUCAACCUGGGAACUGCCAUUGUGACUGCAAGGCUGGAGUGCGGCAGAGGGGGAUGGAAUUCCGCGUGUAGCAGUGAAAUGCGUAGAUAUGCGGAGGAACACCGAUGGCGAAGGCAAUCCCCUGGGCCUGCACUGACGCUCAUGCACGAAAGCGUGGGGAGCAAACA
rnacentral:rRNA from 1 species